rnacentral:lncRNA from 1 species
GACUCAGGUGCCUUUGCUGUUGCCUCCUUAGGCUGGGAUUUCAUAUGUUCUCACCACUAGGUGCUGCCUACAUUAGGAAUGACGAUAAAGCCUCAGUCAUUUGUGUGCCAUUUGCCAUGUAAAGACAUAUGCUCUGAGCAUAUCUAGCUGUUUUAAAAUCUUUUUAACUGCCAUAUAACAUAUAGUCAUUCCUUAAAUAACUUAAUCCACUUCAAAAUGAGCUACAGUAGUAUCUGUUUCCUUUCCUGUCCUGCUUUCUUUCAUUCUGCUCUCUACUUUGGAAACAAUCAUGUUGGGCAUUUCUGCAGCUUAUUAACUAUAUUUUCAGCUGUGGAAAAACACGUAAGUGCUGGGAAAAUUUCUUUUUUCAAUAUUUUAGCAUAGAGUAUUGCUACUUAUAUUAAGAAUUUGGAAAAGAAAAAUGGUACCAAGACUAAAUUAUUAUACUCCGAAUGAGUGAGAUAUAUCUAGGAAGGAAGCAGAUGAUGAAAGUGAUUUCUUCAAAAGAGUGAAAAAUGAUAAAUGUACACAUGGUGGCGGGGGCGUUUGCCUGAGCUUCAGCCUGUUACUCUUCAUCAUUAAGGUUUAGACAUGUCUGCAACUUUUCAUCACACAGGUAUUAAGGGCAUAAAAAAACAUGUAUUCAAAUAGAGCCCAGAGUUUUUCUUGAGGAUGAGGAGAUGUGGUUAAAGGUGAAUCCACUGUUGGAAUUCAAAUAAAGCUGGGCAUGUGUGUCGAACUUAUGUGGUGGUCCAGUAGAAGUCUAGAAGGGUUAGGCUGUGGCACUAAUUAUCUUUCUGGGAAGAACUCACCCUAAUGGAAGAGAGAGCCAGUGGGGAUAAUCUUGCUUAUAUACGUUUCCUAGGCAUUGGUGAAGAGUAGGAAGUCAGCCUACGGCCUGUAUCCUGAAACGUGGCUAGGUCCUGGAGGAAGAAAGGGCUAGAAGCAAAAAUAGAACCUUUGUGUUAAACUGUCUAACUCACUGAGAGUCAAGAAAUACUUCCUUAGUAAGACCCCUCUUUAACCACAGAAGAAAUCAAUUCUCCUCACUCUAUUGCAGGCUGCUGGACAGUCUGGAUAUCCUCAAAGCAGCCACCAGGAGAUAAUGACCAGGCUGGAUCGAGCAGGAAGAAAGACAGGGUCAUUAGGCAGAACAGAGCACACAUGCAGCACCUAAUGGAUGCUGCAAAAGGCAGCAGGGCUGCUGAAGCCACAGGGGCAGUGGCAGGCAGUGGGAGAGGGUGUCCUUCCUGGUGGAGCCUCAAGUAAAGUAAAUGCAGGUGCUGAGAAAAUUGCUUCUGAGUACACAUGCGGUAUCACCUGGGAGUGCCUGGGAGGACUUGGAGAGGGGCACAUUUACAGUUAUGGACUUCCUGCAUGAGCAAGUAGGGCAUAAAUCCAGGUUAAUUGGGUUACGGGGAUAAAGAUUUAGUAAGCCUUUUGACUUACACAUCACAUAUAUAUGCUAUUUUAGUGCAGAAAGACUUAAAUUUUAAAUAUGUUUUAGAAGCAGUGAAGUUCAAAGGCCUCCUUUGGGGUCAAUUAAGACCUGCGUAUAUGUACCUUCAAAUGUUUAAGGGAGUUGCUCCUCAAUUUAGGGGCAGCUUAAGCGAAUACGUACCUAAAUAGGCAGAAAAAACUGGCCACUGAAAAGUCUUCUGUUUUCUGUUUUUAAACUUGUAGACUCAUAUUUGUACAUUACAUCAAGCUCCAAACAUGUAGGAACAUGCUGGUCACAAUAAACUAGUGAAUUCUGCCCCAAAUAUAUAUCUCAACAUGGUUUUUCCACUGCAGCAUGGUAUACAUUCAUAUCCUUCCCUCUAUAUCUUCUUAUUUCAUUUACAAGUGUUUUAUUUAUUAAGAUCUAUGUAAUGGGCUGUAAAGGUAACAUAGACGCAAAAGUUACAGACAGAAACCCUAUGGUUACUCCAUUCUUCUAUUUGUUACACAAUCCGUGUUAUGGCACAACUAAUAUGGUCACUUAAAUGUCCCAAGUCUGACAGUCAGUGAAAAUUCAUGAUACAACUUUAAGCUAUUGUAUUGAGUGUUUAUGUAAGUUCAAUGAAUAUAGGAAGAACACAUUGAAUUCUCACCUAUAAUGUUUUCUAUAAAUGUGUGAACCAGAAUCAAAUAUAUGAACAUAGGCUAGAAAAAAGCAGAGUGUUCCGUAAUAAUUCAAGGAGUAAAAUGUAUUAAUGCUUAUUUUUGUAUAAUUUAUAGCUUGGUCCUGUAGGAAAUUACUGGAGAUUACAAUGACAUUCAAAGGUAAAAGGAUUCAACAUUACAAAUGUUCCAUUUAAUUGUACCAGAAACAAGGUGCUGAAAGUAUGAUUUAAAUACAUAUACUUCAGAUUUUGGGCAGAAGGAGAUUGAAUUAUUGUUGAAUUUGGAUCCAGAGAAAAUAUUAUAUAAGGAUUAUAUAUACAUAUAUGAUUUACACAUAAUAUACAUUAAUAGGUAAUGGCAUAUAUAUGUUCAUACCCAAAUAUAGGAGGUGAUUUGAUGCUUAUGAGUUCUUGAAACACUGCUCUUUAACUGGGAAGAGAAAUUAUGAAGGGAAUAAUGAGGAAAAGCAAAAAAAGUAGCUUUCCUCCACCAGAUAACAGUUGGUAACUUUGCAAUUUUAAUGAAAAUCUAGCAAAUCAGGUAUUGUACAACUGUUUUCUCCUCACCAAAACAGGUAAGGAGGAAGCUCAUUUUCUACUGUUGAAGUCUACAGAUGAAAAUUCCUCUAAAAGUAAAACCAUCCCCAGUAGAUGUAAUUAGUCCAGUUUUUGGUCAUUAAUAGUUCAUUUAGGUUAAUCUAGAAAAUAUAAUUGCCAGUGACAGAGGAGGAGGUAAAGAAGUUUAUGAAUCAGUAAUCUAUGGAUUAAAUAUUUUUAUGUCUUUUAAAUCAUCUAAGUAAGUAAAUUACCAUCAUGUUCCUUUAAGGAAACGGCAGAAAAUUCAAGUCUACUCCCACUCGGCACACAAAUGAACCAUUCCAUAAUAAUAUUAUCUUGACUGCAAAAAGAACAGUCUUUGUUUACAUGUAAGCUGGAAAACUUUUAAAUAAUAAUCUUGAGGGUGGAGAAUAUACAGCACUCUCUUAGGUCAAAUUAUGACCACAGUUAUAACAGACAGUGCAAAAAGCUUUGAAAGGGAUAAGAUAAGACAAAGAGAAAUGACAGGAAAACAAAGUGGCCAAAGAAAUGUUUGGCAGAAGCCCAGCAUACUCCUGGCAUCCUCUCCCUAGGCCUUUUGCCUGUCUGCAGAAUUAUCACUUAUCUUCCACCAGCUUCUCUCUCUUUAAAGAAAGGCCAGUGUACCCCUUCCAAUGCUUCAUCAAUACCUCACAUGUCACAGAGUACAAUGUAAAUGGGCUACAAGCCCAUAUUUCAUGGUUCUCCAAAACAGCUUCUCAUAAGAACAAGGUUACGCAUUUGCAAGAUUUAUAAAACAGAGGGCUGAAUCUUAAUUAGGCCUGCACUGUUAAAUGAAAAUAUUUUCUUAGACACAUUGGCACUUUUCCCUUCAAGCCAAUAAUGCUCUCCUUCUCAAACUGUCUGCUUGCUUGUUUUAAAUAAAAGGUAAGUAGAUAUUUACUUAGAGUGAUAGAGGAAAUACACACCAACUACUUGGUAUAGUAGGUAGGUGGAAAGGGACAAGGAUCCAGAUGUUCUGAGUUACAUGCUGCUGCUGCCACUAGCUUGCUUUGUCACCUGGAGACAGUCAUUAAUCUUGAUGAACCUCCAUUUGUCUGUCUAUAAAUUGAGAAAGUAGGAAAUUUCUAAGGCUGCUUGUUAGUUAUAUGAUCUGUGAUCUAACCAUAUUGGUCAAUUAUAAAGUGUCAUGCCAGAGAUAACAUUUUAUGGGUCAAUUAGAGUAUGUGGUGACUGACUGGGGAAGUCAUAUAUGAUUUUAAUAAACUUCUUUUUAAAAAGAAAUGUAAGUUCUACAAAUCUACUAAACAUAUUCCUAGAUCCUUGAUCUCACCUUCACCAAAAGGUAUCUAUCUGAUCAAGUCCUUAUCAUAAUUUUCAAACAAUUUUAUUUAAGCCUUCUUAGGCUAGUUUCUAAUUUGGCACAAGAAGGUUCAAUGUAGAUCAUCUCCCUUGAUUCUUGGAUCUUAAGGAUGGGAAAUUGGAGGUCAUGGCACAAUUCAGCAGCAAGAGUAUUAGUGCAGCCCAGGUCCUGUGGUUUGGGCCAGGCAUCUCUCCAUUGCCAGAGGUUGCCUUCAGAAGUCUGAAUGGGACACAUAGCCCAUUUUCAGGCCUUGAGAAUUCCUGUGAGAAUUUCAAGCAAGCUUUUGUUUCAACAGCUCACAUGUGCAAGGGCCACCAAGAGUUUAGUAAUGUAAAUAGAUAACAUGUCAUCAUUUAGCCAAGGAAUCACAUUAUGAGCAUAUUCAAACCACAUUCAAAAGGACACCAGAUUUCCUUGAAACAUCUGUGGAUAAAGGAAGAAAAAUCAUGGUGGAUGUGUAGCCAGCCUCCAACAUGGGCUCCAAUGAUUCCUGCCUCUUGGUAUUCAAGUCCUUGUGCAGUUUCCUCCUACAAUGUAUCAUAAUUGGUCUUUGUGACCAAGAGAAUACAGCAGAAGUGAUGGCAUGUCACUUCUGAAGCUAGGUCAUAAAAGGUACUGUGGCUUUGUGGUAUAAUAAGAAAGACAUUCUAUCUUUGUCCAUAGUGCCUGGCACAGAACUCCUGUUGAGGAACCCCUGUUCCCUCAAACCCCUGGAACACCACACAGAGAACUAUCUCCAGGCCUGGACUUCCCCUGACUUGGAGACAGCCUUAUUCUCAGAUCUCUCUCUCUUUUAAAAUGGACUAUCCUCUUUACAACCCAGAGAGCCCCAUCCAAAUGUAAGGACUGGUCUCCAAGGGGGAAGGGGAGGAGGGAUGCCAUUUAGGGUUAUAGAUUCCCCAACUCUGCCAGCUCUAACUGGCCCCUGAGUUGCUACUAUGUAAAUUAAAUCUACCCUGCACCACCCCUCUGUCUCUAUAUAUAUAAAAAAAGUAGUAGGGUGAUAGGAGCAUAUGUGUUCUAAUGAGGCAACUCUUAGCAAGCCUCUAGAUAGCUUCAGGAUGGAGGCAGGUCAUCAGAAAGACCAAGCCUUCAUUAGAAGCUUGGAGCUUUCAGCCCCAACCCUCAACCUCCAGGUCCAGGGAAAAGGGGUUAGAGAUUGAGUUAAUCUUGAAUGGUCAGUGAUGUAAUUAAUUGUGCUUACUUAAUAAAACCUCCAAAAAAGCCCCUAAACAAUGGAGGUUUAGAAGAGCUUCUGGGUUGGUGAACACAUGGAGGAGCUGGGUGAGUGGUGCACAUGGAGAGUGCAUGGAAGCCUCCAACCCCCAUACCUUCUAUGAAUCUCUUCCAUUUGGCUGUUCCUGAAUUGUAUCCUUUAUAAUAAACCUGUAAUAGCAAGUAAAGUGCUUUCCUGAGUUCUGUGAGUAAUUCUAGCAAAUUAUUGAUCCUGGGCUGCCUGGUGGGGAUCGGGGAUGUGGUUGGGGAAAUGUCCGAGUUGGGGAGGUGCUGUUCUCUGAAAGGUAGCCUAAGACACCCCAUCUGCAGUUGGCAUCUGAAGUAGGGGCAGUCUUGUGGGAUUAAGCCCUUGACCCAGGGGUGUCUGCACUAACUCUGGGAAUUGGUAUCAGAAUUGAAUAGAAUUGUUGGACACCCAGUUGGUGUCCGAGUUGGUUGGUGUGAGUAAAAGCCUCUUAGAUUUAUUGCUUGUUCUCUUUUCCUAUCUGAUCCUUUCUCUCUGUCUCAGAUCACUCAUUGUGGAAGAAAUCUGAUGCCAUGUCUUGAGGACACUCAAGUGGCCUAUGGAGAGGCGAACAUAAAGACAAGAAACCCAAUCUCAAGCACUAUGAGACUCCCUCCUCUCCAUCUCCAAGGGUCAGGCCAUGGUCUUAGUCAUUGCCAAGAGCAUCACAGAAGGCCUCUGCCUCCGGUUCCUACCUGGGCCCUUUCUAUGCUCGUUAACUGAUGCUGCAGCCUGACUUCUUCAAGACUAAGUUGGGCUGUAUGCUUGCAGUCAUGGGAGGAAAACAAAAGAGGGUAUAAACACAAUGCAAUGCCUCGACACAUCACUCCAUCUCAGGGGGUCAGAAAAUAAAUUAAAUGUUAGGAAAAACAGAAAAGAAAUAAGCAACAUAGUGCCAGCCUUUGGGUUCUUAGACACUCAAAAGGAAACAGAAAGUACAGAAACAAUACACCAGGAAAUAAAAGAGGGCGUUUUUAGAAGUACCAUUUAAAUUGCAAGGGCUGCAGGAAUCAACAGAAGGAAAUAAUCGGGGCGAGGGGGAGGGGACUUAAUAAGAAUAAUAAUUAUAUAUAUUCCCUCAAAUUUGUAUGGAAUUUAUAAAUUACGAGGGACUUUUCGCACAUUUGUAACUUCAUUUUAGACACGCACAAUGAAAUUAAGUAAAAUGGGGUUGGCGGGACAGAUGGUAACAUCUUUAUUUUACAGAUGAGGAACUUGGACUCAGCUAGCUUUGGCGACUUGUUGAGAAAGUCAGAACCAGUUAGUUGUGGAAUAUAAAAUUGAGCUCGGCUCUCUUCCUACCUAGUCUUUUCUCUGCUCCGCUCCCACACUUCAGUGAGAGUUGCUUUCCUGAAGGAGUAAGUUCUAAAGCAGGAUUGGAAGUUCCUAUAGGGACAAAGAGAAGAGGCAUCCAUGAGUGGCAAGGAGUGUGAAAGGGAUGAAAAACACAUAGGAAGAAAUGGAGACAGGCAGAAGGUCCCAGCUACAGGACAGAAAAGCCAGGGUGUGGGCUUCUGAGAGAUGAUGCUGAGUGGUGAGUCACGGGUGACUAAGGGAGCCAUUGACAUCAGAUUGCAAAUUCUCCCCUCCUACCCCAUGAUGAAGAAGUUUAUCUCCUAUAUCUCUUUAUAUAUGAAAAACCAUAAAGAAAACACCAGUAUCUUCACAUAAUGUACCAUCCAAUGAAAGCAUACGCCAUCUCACUUGGGCCCUUUAUCAAUCUUAGUCACAGUGCCCAAUAUCAUUUCCAUUUCUCAUUCUCUGAGUUCUGUUAUCCAAAGCUUAUCCUCUUGCCUGGACUAUAGAGACAGAGGUGAAAUCUUUGAGAAGUGGAUCCUAUCCACUUGUCAUUACACCUCUGUAAUUCUUAGUGAUGUUCUACGUUGCCUCCCACAGUGACCCUGUACAAACCAUUGCAAGAGUUUCGGGGGUGGGGGACUGUUACUUGAGCCAACUUCUUCCAUCCUGCAAAGGCAGGGAUGGAGCUCAGGAGAUGGUGUUUUGCAUCUUUACAACUGGAACAAGAUGAAAGGUCUCUGAAGCAAUAAUGAGAUCCAGGCUUGAUUCAGGACAAGAGGCCAGAUGGGAACAGUAGAGCAUUAGGAUGUUGUGAUGCUGGGGUAACCUUUCCAUAAUGAUGUUGUGUGGCCUGAAGUUUGAUGCCAAGAAUCUACAGUGAUUUCUGGCUUAGAAAUAAGAAAUUGAUCAGUAAAUGAAAAAAAAAAAAGUCUACCUGUAUCCAAUCUCUCCCCACAAGCCCCCCUCCCAGCAUUGUUAUCUAUUUGUAUACACAACAGUAUUUUAGCAAAUGAAAAUUCUCAGAAUUCUAAUCACAUCCUUAUCCCAAAGCCUGGAUUUAGUCAGAAAGCUUUAUGGUGCUUCUGACUCAGUAGAGUUAGUUAUCCUGUUUAAUUGGAUUGACGGUGACAAUUGUAAUUACCUUAGAUGAGAUUGCCUGUAAUGUAAUUAUACUUCCUUCAUCAGCAUGAGCUGGACUUGUGGAAUACAUACAGAAGAUGCCUCCAAUUACUGAGAGGUUAAGAAGAACAUUAUAUUGCCUCACAAAUCCUGUUUGUUACUGUAUAGAAUUGUAAGAAUUAUGGAAGAAACUGAAGGAAUUACUCCUCUAAAGCAGAUACUCCUGGAAAGUUACACAACUUGGCUAAUACUCUCCUGCUAGAGUUGGACAGGAAGACCUUACCAAAGCUGAAAGAUAAGAGAAACAUUUGUUUGGGCUGAGGCAGCUGUUUCAUGAAAUGCAACAUCAUAUCUCAUUUUUCUUCAUGAACUUCUCUCAUUUAACAAUUAGGCUGGAAGAACACACAUUACCAAUAGGUUCAGUCGUAUAACACUCAGAACCUGGAAAUAAUGAGUUGGAAGUUUCAGAUCCUACAAAAUAAAUCAGUUACUCCAUCAAUUCUAUAAUAUAAGGCAAAGAAUCUGAAAAUUGAAGGAAGAUAUUUUGAACAACACUGUGCAAAAGCUAUUGCUGAGUUAGGUAUUCAGUUAAGCCAAACACCACGCCUGGUUCUCAGUUUGUUUUGCAAAAGCAUUUAUUCUACAUUUUAAAUAUGCACAUGUUUCAACUUGGGCUAGAAAGACUUAACUAAAAAUAACACCACUAUCACCAAGUGAUGCUAUGGUUGACCGAUACUCCAGGAUUUGAAAAAAAAAUUCCCCAAAUGGUACAAAUUCCCCAAAUGCUACAAAUUCCCUAGGAACUGGAAGCUUUUCCUCUCCUUAAGGUGAAAGACUGCUUCUCCUCUUGGUGUUUUGCCAUUAAAAAAAGAAAGUAUUUAGCAAACAACUAGCAGAUCCAUCAAAAGGUUAGGAUUCUUUUUAUUUUAGUGCUCUUUCUUAAUGGGCAAAAUUGAUUGAUUAGUUCACCUGGAAUGUUCUUAGCCUUAGGGCAGAAACAGAGCUUUGUAUGCAUUAGUGGACUGGGUUUAUAAAAGAAAAAAGUCCACAUUCAAGAAUACAGAGAAUUUCAAAAAUACAAGAAAAUAGAAAAAAGAAAAACAAGGUCUGGAAGCAUAUUAAAAUUCUUGUAUUCAUUAAAAAUCAAAUGGCUGUGUUUUCAGUUGUAUUGAGUUAUCAUAUGUGCACUGGUUCUUUGCCUUAGUUCCAAAUGUACUCAUAUUAUCAUCUCUAAAUCCAUCUGGAUAGUUUAUACAGUGAACCCUGGAAUCACCUUAGUUUCUCCAAACUCCAUCUACUUUUUGAGAAAAAAAAAAAGCGUAAGGCAGACCUUUCCCCAUUAGAUCUCCAACCUCUGUUGCUCCCUUCCCUCACUUGUUGGUAAAACUACUUUCUGGAAAGUUUGUUUACCUUUCAGACAAGACAAGGGGUGAAACAGAGGAGCAACAACCUCCUUGCCGUUGGCUAGAAUGAAGUGAGGGGAGUUACCAGGAUGCAGUGGUAUUAAUCCCCUGUUACUCUGAUGUUACCUCAGACCCUCUUCUAUUUAUUUGGCCAUACUCCCAGCACAGUGAUUUACAUCUUGGAGGAAGUAGUAUUUAAAUGUAUGUGCAUAAGAUUCUGUUGGGGAGUUUAUUAACAAUGCAGAUUCCUGAGCUCUAGCCUGCUCUAUGAAAUCUGCAUCCCUAGCAGAUUAGCACCCAGGAAUGCUCAUCGAUAAGCUUUUCCAGCGAGUAUGAUUAGGUAGGUGGUCUCAUGACCACAUUUUGGGAAACACAGACUUAGGAUGAUAUGAAAAGUGACGUCAGGCUGUGCUAAGUGCCAAGCCUUGAGUGGAAAGGUGUUUUAAGUCGCUAUCUCAUCUCAGAGUACAUAAUAAAUAUUUAAAUUUGAGAAAACUAGUAUAUAAUAUAUAAGUAAAACCUGUUAUUAUUUGCUAUUGUUUUUCUUUAUGGUUUCCACACAGAUAUCUGAUCUGCCUUAAGCAUUAUUUGCCUUGGUGAUCUGUAAAUUCCUGAAAAAGGGCGAAAGCUUAGGUGACAUACACUCUAAUUAAUGUGGCCCUCAUAUACUGUUUAAGUAACAGAACCCUUACCACUUACAGCUGGAAAGACUUUUAAAAAAUGUAGCCCAAGCUUUUUAAUUUUUUCAGGUGAAGACGCUUUUAUGCAGAGAGAUGAACUAAUGUAGGAAUCAUUUUGUACAGGGGAGUGGUCUGAAAUAUUAAUGGGCUAUUUUAACCAUCAGCUUGAAUAAUUCAAAGGUGUCUGCUUAAUUCUUGUGCUUUCCCAGUUCAGAUGAAAAUAUCCACAAAGAGAACUAUGUAAGUAAAUACAAUUAAUCAUAAUCAAUCAUGUACUGUCUUGGAUUUCCCUAAAACCAAAACACUGAAAUGGACACAUGACAUCCUUCUGGUCCUAAUUUUCCACCAAUUCAUGAAACAUUUCAUGCUUUGCUUGGGACAGCACAAAUCUUUCAACCUCCAAUUAUAUUAAUAUUAUGAGGGCACUGAAGUGCCCAAAUGUGACAUGAAGUCCUUGAGUGUGGAAUGGCCUUUUCCAAUAGACAUACAGUUUGCAUAAAUGGAAAUGAACACAAUAUUAUCACCCCUUGAGAUUUCCUGGUUUUGGAACAAAGAGGUGGUGGUCCUGGAUGCUUUACAGUAUAAUCUCCUUUUAGAGAUUCUUAGUGCACAAUAUUAUAAAUUCAGAGUUCUUCUGAAAUAAAGAAAAACAUUACCUUUA